rnacentral:rRNA from 1 species
UACGAAGGGUGCAAGCGUUAAUCGGAAUUACUGGGCGUAAAGCGUGCGUAGGCGGUUUGUUAAGUCUGCUGUGAAAUCCCCGGGCUCAACCUGGGAAUGGCAGUGGAUACUGGCAAGCUAGAGUGUGUCAGAGGAUGGUGGAAUUCCCGGUGUAGCGGUGAAAUGCGUAGAGAUCGGGAGGAACAUCCGUGGCGAAGGCGGCCAUCUGGGACAACACUGACGCUGAGGCACGAAAGCGUGGGGAGCAAACAGG